rnacentral:rRNA from 1 species
UGGGGAAUAUUGGACAAUGGGCGCAAGCCUGAUCCAGCCAUGCCGCGUGAGUGAUGAAGGCCUAGGGGUUGUAAAGCUCUUUUAUCCGGGACGAUAAUGACGGUACCGGAAGAAUAAGCCCCGGCUAACUUCGUGCCAGCAGCCGCGGUAAUACGAAGGAGGCUAGCGUUGCUCGGAAUCACUGGGCGUAAAGGGCGCGUAGGCGGACAUUUAAGCCAGGGGUGAAAUCCCGGGGCUCAACCUCGGAAUUGCCUUUGAUACUGGGUGUCUCGAGACCGGAAGAGGUAAGUGGAACUGCGAGUGUAGAGGUGAAAUUCGUAGAUAUUCGCAAGAACACCAGUGGCGAAGGCGGCUUACUGGUCCGGUUCUGACGCCGAGGCGCGAAAGCGUGGGGAGCAAACA